rnacentral:rRNA from 1 species
GCUGGCGGCGUGGAUAAGACAUGCAAGUCGGACGAGAUUUUCCGUUGUAGCAAUACGAUGGAAAGUCUAGUGGCGAACGGGUGCUUAACACGUGGGCAACCUGCCAAGAAGUGGGGGAUAGCUCGCCGAAAGGCGAAUUAAUACCGCAUGUGAUCAGAGAGGACAUCCUUUCGAAAUUAAAGUCGGGGCAACCUGACGCUUUUUGUGGGGCCCGCGGCCUAUCAGCUAGUUGGUGAGGUAACGGCCCACCAAGGCUUUGACGGGUAGCUGGUCUGAGAGGACGACCAGCCACACUGGGACUGAGACACGGCCCAGACACCUACGGGUGGCAGCAGUCGAGAAUUUUUGACAAUGGGGGAAACCCUGAUCGAGCGACGCCGCGUGGAGGAUGAAGGUCUUCGGAUUGUAAACUCCUGUCAUUGGGGAACAAUGCGUGACGGUUAACUGCCGUUGCGUUGAUAGUACCCGAAGAGGAAGAGACGGCUAACUCUGUGCCAGCAGCCGCGGUAAUACAGAGGUCUCAAGCGUUGUUCGGAUUCAUUGGGCGUAAAGGGUGCGUA